AUCCGGCUGACAGGUCCCAAAUAGGACGAAACGCGCAUCCUGGAU
rnacentral:hammerhead_ribozyme from 1 species